GGAUUAGUGGCGAACGGGUGAGUAAUACGUGAGUAACCUGCCCUUGACUUUGGGAUAACUUCAGGAAACUGGGGCUAAUACCGGAUAGGAGCUCCUGCUGCAUGGUGGGGGUUGGAAAGUUUCGGCGGUUGGGGAUGGACUCGCGGCUUAUCAGCUUGUUGGUGGGGUAGUGGCUUACCAAGGCUUUGACGGGUAGCCGGCCUGAGAGGGUGACCGGCCACAUUGGGACUGAGAUACGGCCCAG
rnacentral:rRNA from 1 species